AACGCACAUUGCGCCCCUUGGUAUUCCAUGGGGCAUGCCUGUUCGAGCGUCAUUGACACCCUCAAGCUCUGCUUGGUGUUGGGUCGUUGUCGUUUCCUCGCCCCCCAGCGACACAGCGACACCCCUCAAAGUCAUUGGCGGCCUUUCUGCCCAGCUUCCCGCGCAGCAGUUCGCGCUUUGGAAACCACUUGGCAGGUUGGCAUCCAUCAAGCUGACCCCCCUUAUGCUUGACCUCGGAUCAGGUAGGGAUACCCGCUGAACUUAA
rnacentral:misc_RNA from 1 species